GUUGGUUUUUUGUACUACGAUUGGUGUAAAUUGUACGUUAUUAUCCGGUGUAACCUUGGUUUCGCCAAAAAUAGUGUUCCCUUUUCACAUUCGUUUCAUCAGAUAAAUAUUUAGGGGACCACCAAUUCGCAUGAAAUAAUUUUUUCGAAGUCACAGUUCGAAAAAUUAAAACAAACGUUUUGUCUGCAAAUACAUACAAUUUACAGAAACAAAGAUUUAAUAUUACUAAAUUUACAUUUGUGGAGAAAACUAUGAGACGUCCGCUCUCACUAAUCACCCUUCAAUGUGCGUGUGAAAAUUUUUCACAUUUUUCAGUGCAGAAAAGGGCCACGGAACAACUCAAUGUAAAAAGUUUUCGUUUCACUAGCCAAAGUGAAUUUCAGAACACACCCGAAUGUUUACAUGCUCAUACAAAUUAAAAAAAAAAAUGUACAAUGGAGAUAAGACGAAAUGGAUGGUUUCAACUUCCAAAAAACCUUGCACAACCGAACAGAUAAAGAAAAUGGAGAAAGUUGGGAACCACAACUUUGAGACAGACAGUGACUUUAUCUACCUCGGCACCGCCGUAACCGAAACGAAUGACACCAGUCUUGAGACUAAGCGAAGAAUAAUACUGGCAAACAGAUGCUACUUUGGACUAAGUAAGCAGUUUAGAAACAAGGCCACAUCUCGACAGACGAAGAUUACACUAUACAAGACACUGAUACUAAGCGUGUUGUCAAAUGUUUCUGAAGCAUGGGUACUUGCGAAAACAGAUGAGGCAGUGUUUGGAGUAUUUGAGAAAAAGAUUCUUCGUAAAAUAUAUGGACCAGUUUGCGUUAACGGAGAAUAUAGGCGACGUAUGAAUCACGAGCUCUAUGAAAACGAUAGCACAGUUACACACAUCAAAAUACAACGGCUGCGUUGUCUAGGUCAUGUUGUCAGAAUGGAUGGAGAAGCUCCAGCAAAGAAGUCUUUCGAAGGCAAACACGGUGGUACACGCAAACCGGCAAGACCAAUAGCCCGAUGGAAAGAUCAAGUUGUGGGAAACAACUCGAAACUUAGUGUCAGAUAUUUUAGAAUGAGCGUAGAAGAUCAAGGCGUUUGGAACGCUAUCUACGUUCGACUAGUGGAACAAAUAUUCUGUCAUAUAUAGAGAGCCAACACUGGUUUAAACAGCUCACGCACGUUUCGUGUUUUGUUUCACUGUCAAACAUCUACAGUUUCGUCUAUAAUUUAACCAUGAAUCGUCUUACAAACGAACAACACUUGCAAAUUUUGGAAUUUUACUAUCAAAAUGCGUACAUUGUUAAGAAAGUUUAUCGCACUCUUCUUCCAUUUUAUGGACGAAGCUUGUUUUUGGCUCAAUGGGUACGUACCCAAAUAAUUGGGUACGAUUUUGGAGUGAAGAUCAGCCCGAAGCAUUGCAAGAGCUAUCAAUACAUCCAGAAAAAAUCAAAGUUUGGUGCGGUUAAUGGGCUGGUGACAUCAUUGGACCAUACUUCUUCAAAGAUGAUGCGAAUCGUAACGUAACUGUAAAUGGUGAGUGCUACCGUGAGAUUAUAUCCAACUUUUUUGCCCAAAAUGCAAGAGUUUGACUAGCAUGACAUGUGAUUUCAAUAAGACGGUGCCACAUGCUACACAGCACGCGUAACAAUGGAUUUAUUGAGAGGCGAGGCGAGGUGAACAUUUUAUUUCACGUUUGGGACCGGUCAAUUGGACGCCUAGAUCGUGCAAUUUAACGCCUUUAGACUAAUUUUUGUUCGGCUAUGUUAAAGCUCAUGUCUAUACAGAUAAGCCCGCCUCAAUCGACGCAUUGGAAGACAACAUUGAAGAAUUUAUUCGUGAAAUGUUAGAAAAUUGUGCGAAAAUUGGACUAAGCGGAUGCACCAUUUGAGGCGCAUUCACGGUCAACAUUUGCAUGAAAUAAUCUUCAAACAUUAAAUUAAAGGACCGUACUAUCGAUUCAAAUAAAUAUUUCAUGAAUUGUUCUGAAUAAAUAAAGAUUUCAUGAAUUGUUCUGAACUUUA